rnacentral:lncRNA from 1 species
CUGCUGCCCAGGCUAGAGUGCAGUGGUGUGAUUAUAGCUCACUGCAGCUUCAAACCCCUGGGCUUAAAUGAUCCUCCUACCUCAGCAACCCAAGAAGCUGGGACAACAGAAACCAGAUCAGCUGUCCUGCAAAUGUGUCGCCUAUCACGCAGCUGUUUGCCUCUCUGUGGUGUCGCCUCGCCCCAUGUCUCCUGCAAAUGGAAGCUGUGCUGCAGAAAUGCCCUUAGAUUCAGGCUCAUCUUUCUUUGCCAGAAGCCUUCGUGGGCAGAGCUGUG